GGUGAGAAGGAACUUAUUGAAAAGAUUUUACAAACUGAAAUAAAUAUAUACCGUUCAAUUAGAGAUGGGACUGCACUUAGCAUAUGGAGGAUUUUUAUUACAUCACAUUGCUAGAGAAUGUUAAAUCCAAUUACCAAACUGCCACGAAUUAAGUUGCAAUCCGACCAACAAGAUAGUUUGUAAAUCAGCUAAGAAGCUUGUGAUGUCCCCAAGGCCUGCAGCAUGGUUAUACAUGUAUCUUCUAUCAGAUAUGUACAGAGUAUAAUUGAGAUGUUAUCAAACACAUGCAAUAGAAUUUAAUCCAAUCUACUAGUACUAUACCCCUUAUUUGUAAUAAAUUAUUGUAACAUUUCUAUGUAAUUUGAGAUAUAGAUGGGAAUUGGUAUGAAUUUGUAAUUGAAAUAAUGGUUGAGUAAGAAAGAUUGGAUUGUAAAUGGGAAUUGGAUAUGUAAAUCUCUAUUGAUGAGAUAUGAUGAACAAGGAAUAGAACAGCUGAGUCUCUAGAAUUGGAA